UCAAACUCCCGACCUCAACUGAUCCACCCAAAGUGCUGGGAUUGCAGGCGUGAGCCAUGGUGCCUGGCCUCCACCACUUUAAAUGAGCUUGUGACUACACGGCCAGCAAGACCGGGCCAAAUUCAUCAUCAGCAGAAACGUGCAUCCUUGAUGGAAGCAGCGGCUGGGGGGCUGGUGUACGUGCUGAACGGACACUUAUGGUGUGUGGAGUGAUUCAUCACUGGAACGAAUUUCAUGUUUCUUCUUCCUUUUUAAAAUCUUGCUUUUAGAAAAUGCAUGAUUCUGUAUGUGGCGUGUACUGAGUUUCCGCUGGACGGUGCUGAACAGGGAAGCUGAUUUAGGUGGGGAAAGACACUAUGAAUGCCGUGAGGACGAUGCUGCUACCUUGGUCCAGGCCCAGCAUCUCUUCAGUGUGCAUACGAGGCAGCAGAGGAGCGAAGGACCCAUGCCUGAUCUGAUGCUUGGCGCAAAAUAACACAAGCAAUAGCUCAAGCGUGCCUGCCUCUGUGUCCAGCGAGCCUUGGAAACAGCUCACACCUCCAAGGAAAAGACAUCCUCAGGCCAUGCCUUCCACACAGUCCUAAGGAGAGGACAGGUAGAAUAAAGGAAGAUCUGCAGUGGUGGUCCACCACCAGCGCGCGACAUCGGAGACUGUCGGGAAAGUCGGGGACUGUCGGGGACGGUUGCGGACAGUCAGACACUGUCGCGGACUGUCAGGGAAGAGACCUGUGGCUCCCGUCUGUUCGAGUUCUCUGGGGUCCACACACCUGAGAGCUGGCUGUGGACAAACAGACAGUGGACAUUUCACAUACAGAUGUCGUGGGGUGGAGUCAGAGAGUGAUACUGUGGACGGGACAGGAUAGAGUCGCUUCUCGGUCAAGUAACAGGUUUCUAAGCCAGGCCACAUGCUGCAUUAGUUACUGCACAAGCAGGGCUAUGGCUAAGCAGGUUGCUCAUAGCCGUGUCAAAAACAGACACACGUGCCCAGAUGCAGCUGACGGGGCAGUGGCACAGAACAAGGCUUCGGAUGAGCCCAUCACCAUGACAACCGAUGUCCCUCGGCUUCCCAAAAAGCUCACGGAAAUGGUGGCACCAGAACAAGGCAGUCAGGGCCUGACGUCCUCUAGCCGGCCCCCAGGGAGAGCAGGGCCACCGGCUCUCUACAGAUGCACGGCCAUCCUUUUCAAAUGCAGGCUGCCAGAAACGAUUCCACUUAUCACAGCUGCGCAGGAGAAGGCACGGCACUUCAGCCAGGAUUGAAAUCUGGAGGAGAACGGUCUAUGAGCAGAUGUCUGGGCUGCUGCCUGCCGGUGCCUUGGGUUCUAGGCGACGUGUAGGAGCCUCGAGUCUGGACUCUGUGUAACAGUAAGAUGCCUCCUACACUCGGCAAAUCAUUUUUGAAUUUUCACGUCGUAGUUGUGAACAGACUGAAUUUCUUUUCUUAGUUCUUAAUGAAGUAUGGAAGAGGAAUAGCCUUUUCACAUUUAGCAAAAGAAUUUGUCAGGCUCUGGAAGGAAGGGAGCUGCCCCGUGGUGGGAACAAUUGCCCCUCUGUGAUCUCCAAACACCUGGGAGCCCCUGCACGAUCUCAGAACACAACACCCGGGAGACCCUCAUUCACCCGCUGCGCAUCCUCUAUCUCUACCAGAUAGAAGCGUCUUCUGAAUGAAGCAUCUUUAACAGAUUUUUUUUGAGACAGAAUCUGACUAUGUUGCCCAGGCUGGUCUCGAAGUCCUGGGCUCCACUGAUUCUCCCAUCCUGGCCUCCCGCAUUGCUGGGACCACAGGCGUGAGCCACUGCGCCUGGCUGAUGAAGCUCUGAGCCUUCUCCUUGGUGACCGAUGCUGGGCAAGACGAGACGGCUCUUCUAAGAAGUCAACUUGGAAACUGGCCUAAAUGGGUUCCAAGGUUUCCCGUAAUGUUUUUAAGAAUUCAGACUGGGGUAGGGAAAGCGAGCUUUUGAGGAGAGAUCAGGCUUUUUGUGGAGCCUUAUUUUGUGCCCGUUUGCUACAUGAAGACGUAGCACGUUCCCUCAUCUCCACGUGCAUCCUCUGAAUGGAAGUUUGGGACCUUGAAUGCCUCCCCAUGCAGACUAGGGCCUGUUUUCCCGACUGCUCCUGGGAGGCAGAGGCCUUCUAGCUGCACCUCACUCUCAAAGUCUGUUCUUGGCAGCAGCUGACAGUGUCCCCUGUUGAAGAGAGGUGGGCAUGUCCCAAAUGCCCCCAGGGUAUAUCACAGCCUCGCCAUUUAAGCUACAGAGUUGAGAGGAAUCCCAAAACGUGUGUAUUUGAGGCUCAUGUCUCUUUUCUCUUCCCGCUCCCAUUAAUGGAUUCACCCAUCUGCAAGUCGGCAGCCGCAUCGCUGGUAUUAUCAAAUAUCCUACCAUGCAAUGCUUGGCGAAUUCGCUCAGGGCACAGGGCGGGAGUUUUAUCUCAAAGACAGCAGCGAGACACACAAAUCCCAAGUGGGAGGCAAGCCCUUCCCAGGUGCCAGGCUCUGGCCUCAGCAGACUCUUCCUGCUAUUCGGGGGCAAUAUUCCCAGGGACCUUUAAAGCUGUGGAAUUGUACCUUGUUUUGUAACUCUGUAAUAUUUUUGCCAGCUCAGCUGCUGAGUUAAAGGUCUCUUAAUACUUUUGUGCUCAAAUAAGAUAAUCUGAGGGUACACAGUGCCAUUAACUGAGUAAAUAUGAAUUCAUGCAGUAAGAAAGGCAAUUUGGGUGUCAAUAGGCUGUCUCUGUUUCCAGCAUCUCAGAACACUGUCACCCACAAAUGGCCUCAACGAAUGUUUGCUUUGGCUUCCAAUAAUGGCUACUCACCUGUCAGGGUCAUUUUAAAUGUUUAUUCGAAGGGGCCUUAGAAAUCAUCCAGCCCAAUUCCCUUCUCUGUGGUUCGAAGCUGGGGCCCCGGGGCAGGGGACGUCUGCUAAGCUGCGUAUCAGGCCCUCAGCAGAGACGUAGGGCCUCAGCUCUGCCAGUUAAUAUUUGUUAAAAAGCUUUUUAAAGACACAAAAUUAUGUAACCUCUCAGUUUAGCAAAAACAGAUGAGACACUAAAUAUAUAUAUACUAUUUUCUUUCUUUCAAGUUAUCAAUCACAUGAAGCUUCAUUUAAUGAAGUACAUUAUUAGAGUAAAAAGAUUUCCAAUCUCCUGGGCCACUAUUCCCCAGCUAAACUCCUAAGGAAGAGGGCUUUCUGCAGGAGGUCACACUCCUGACCGCAGUGUGAGGUUGCUGGCUCUGUCUCCCCACUGGGUUUUCCUGACCUCGGCGUGAGGCUGCUGGCUGCUCUCUCUCGCCUGGGUUUUCCCGGUCACUGGGCUUCUCGACAUUUGGCUCAGGUGAGCCGAGCCCUGUAGCUAUGGAGUCAUUACAGCUUUGUAUUUGCAAAGGAUCCUCCUCCUUCCAUAAACACUUGUCUGAACCCUGUCUCCACCAGCUACUGAACUACUUCCCAGCUGGGACCGUGGGUCACUGGGGUUGCUGGGUUGAGAGUGUCUGACAAUCAAACAGUGGGGAGAGAGGAUCAGGUCACUUCGGAGUUUACAAUGAGGAUACCCUGGAGAGCGCUGACACCAUUAUAAAUCUUCAUACUACAGAAACAGCCUGGGGAGAGCAACUGCCUCCGUGUCCUUCACAAGGCUGUUUACGUCCCGAGGCGGCAGACAGAGGCAGCGUUUUCCACCCUUUCAGAGCACUCCCUGAGGGACGAUGCCCAUGGCUUGAGCGGCUCCCAACAGAAGGCCACGCACCCACAGAAUGUGGUGAAAUGGAUACUGUUCCCUGCAACUCCACAUUCCCCGUGUCAAUCAUAAAAACCAGGGACCGCGAGAACAACAGUGUGGGGGGAAAACUGUGCCAAUCAAACACCAGAGACCAUGAGAACAGCCGUGUGUGGGAGGGGGCGGAAACAAACUGUGCCAAUCAAACACCAGAGACCAUGAGAACAAUGGUGUGGGGGAAAAAAAAAAGAAAUGGAGGAGGAAUAUUUAAGGAAAUCUGCAACAUAAGAAAAAAAUUAGAAGUAGGUCAGAAAUGAAAGAGCAACCAUACGUGUGAACCCAAUGUGCUUAGAAAGUGAGAGCACCGUGGCCGUGUCCUUCAGGAGAAUGAGCUUUUGCUACGGGAGAACAGAGCCAGUAAGUUACGUGCUGACGACCACACUAACACCCCUGAGCCUACAGAGAAUAAAAGCAAGGCAUUUACAGCCAGAAGACCAGAAUCCAAGUUGCCCCCACCCAUUCUAUUUUCUUGGGGUAACCACUUCUUUCCCGCAAGCAUCAGCUUCCUGCAAGCAGCCCUGGGUGAACUCCCGCACCUCCCAGUGCCGUGCAGCCCCAAGGGAACUCCCGCACCUCACAAGCUGCCCAAGUGGU
rnacentral:lncRNA from 1 species